CCCUAUGGGGUGCGUCAACGUUUUCAUCUCCACCACGCCCAGUCCGUCGAACGGCAUGUUCAUCAUUUUCCCCCAAAAAGAGGUCAUCAAGCUCGACAUGGACGUCUCCGAGGCCUUGAAUCUCGUGCUUUCCGCCGGCGCAAUCCUGCCGCAGAAAUCGGCCGAGGUCAGCAAGAACUCCAUUCUCGAGAUGAUCGACAACCUGAUCAAUAAGCAGGACGAGAAGGAGCAGGCCUGACCGACCGUCGGCGGACAACAUCCCAUGAUCAUCCAGACACAGGCGAUCGUCCUCCAGAUACGGCCGUGGUCGAAAACCUCGCACAUGGUCACCUGGCUCACCCCCGACCACGGCAAGAUUGUGACUUCCGUCAAGGGAGC
rnacentral:rRNA from 1 species